rnacentral:rRNA from 1 species
CGCAUCUGUGCAUGCAGCAUAUCAAUAAGCGGAGGAAAAGAAACUAACAAGGAUUCCCCUAGUAACGGCGAGUGAAGCGGGAAGAGCUCAAAUUUGAAAUCUUAAAGGGUUUCCCUUUACGAAUUGUGGUUUAAAGAAGUGUUUUCUGUUGAGGUUUUGGUAAAAGUUCUUUGGAACUAGGACAUCAUAGAGGGUGAGAAUCCCGUAUUUGACCUCUACUUUCAACUUUGUGAUACACUUUCAAAGAGUCGGAUUGUUUGGGAAUGCAGUCCAAAAUGGGUGGUAAAUUUCAUCUAAAGCUAAAUAUUGGCGAGAGACCGAUAGCGAACAAGUACCGUGAGGGAAAGAUGAAAAGAACUUUGAAAAGAGAGUUAAACAGUACGUGAAAUUGUCAAAAGGGAAGCGUUUGACACCAGUGUUGUUUUUCUGAAAAUCAAUUAAAGAACUGUUUAUGCUAAGUUGUUUAGACUUUAUCAGCUAACUGUUUAGUUUUGAGCUUUUCCUUUAAUGCACUUUUCAGUUAACGAAGUCAACAUCAAUUUCUUUUGCUGUAAAAAAGCUUGAGGAAGGUGGCUUGAGAUUCGUCUUAAGUGUUUAUAGCCUCUUGCCUAUGCAGUCGGAGAGAUUGAGGUCUGCAGCGUAGAUCCUUCGGGGCUAAAUGCAUUUGUGCUAAGUUAUAGCAUUUUAUAGCCAACUUGUUAACUAUGAUUUGUCUUGUAGCUUACUCGCUUAUGCUAUUUUACCUACGCUUAGGAUGUUGACUGAUAUGUAGUCGUA